AUAGAAGAAAAAAUAUGUUAUUUCCUUGGAGCUUCUGUAAUUGCCUUUUUUGAACUGGUUUUCAGGUGACUCCUCAGAGCCCACCCUUCAGGGAGUGGCACUCCUACUUUCCAUCCUACAAUGGCAGCAGUGCUGUAAAGGGCAGUGGAUGGACCUGGGCAUGCUGAAGUAUUGUCACAGAAAAUAAAUUAUUUCUCUCCAUUCACAUUGAUAGAUUCUGUUUUGGGAAUGUUCAACAGAGGCACUGUGCUGGUGAUACAGCCGCCCCCGAUCUCUCCCCAGGUUGUGCAGAAUUAGCAUAAGUACUUUGCGCACACAGCUGCAGCUUUCAGUGUGCGGGAGCCUCUGCAGCAGCUCCGCUUCCCCGAGAGGGGACUUUGCCAGAGGAAUGGCACUGGCAUGGAUUCAGCAGCCACACACCCACCCUCGCUUCCUACGCACACUUUUGUACUGUCACCAUGGAUCAGCGUUGGAGCACAGCUUCACAGAACAGUGCAAGGCAACACAGCAGAAUUCUGUUUGCCUCAAGUAACCUGAGGUGAUCGAGCUCUUGGUGAGUGUACCAUUAAGAGUCAUUGUCUAAUUUAUCCAGCCCUGAAGUCUGCACAUGACACAUGCCUAACUGAAUGACAGCUAAAAUAAUAGGCACCAAAAUCCAUUUUUUAAUUUACAUUUUUGGUUUUUAUUUCCAUAGCAGAUGCAAUACUCAUAGAUUAGCAACGUGAAACUGAACAAAAAUCUUUGCACUUUGCCGUAGCUUACAGGUCUCUUUCCAACUGUAUUUAAGUUGGAAAUUUGACCUCAUGGAGCCCGGAAUUUGACAGAAGGAAGGUACUGCUGGAAACAUUCCUUUUGAGCUUCUCAAUCAUUUAUUCAUGAACAUGAAGUCAUAUGCUGAGUGGUAUUUGGCCAGAUCAUUUACUUCAAGAGUCAGGUUUAUGAUCCUCAUCCAACAACAGCAGACUUGAGGGUAUUUGGUAGAUUACUCUUAACAGACAUAGCUAGGCAAUUCCUGACAGAGGGCCCAUGCUGUCUUUCCUAACCUUCCUCUCAAAAACUGUGAGAAGCUAAGGCUGAGAGUCACAGAUUGUUUGCAUAGUGCCAACAACCUGAUCGUGCAAACCUUAAUAUUAAAAGGUCAGGUAUUUAAUGUUCUAGUAAAGAGCACUUUGUGUGAGAAACUAAUCUGAACAGACAUAAGUUGCUAAUUUGAUUGGCACUGUUCACAAAAUCGCUGCCAAAAUUCUUAAGGAGAGAUGCAAACUGAUAUCCCAAAUCAGUUAAGGGAACAGCACUGUAUUAUAAACCUUAGCUAUCUUUUCAGCUGGAGAAAGCAUAGCUUUGAGAGCUAACAGUUGAAGAUACCUCAGAGGUCAGCUUUUAAAUUCAGUGUACUGGUUUAGAGCUUUUGGGAUUGUCUGUUUUGAUGUUACUGCACCAGAUAUUUUUACAUACCUUUAAAUAAUCUGCAAGGGUAAAAUGCCCUAGAUCUGCGCAUCAUUCUACUUCUUACUGGAACUUUUGUAAGGCCCCUGGUUUUAAAAAACAACUAAAUAAACAAUUCAAAAACCCCCA
ensembl:lncRNA